CCUACGGGUGGCAGCAGUGGGGGAUAUUGCACAAUGGGGGAAACCCUGAUGCAGCGACGCCGCGUGGGUGAAGAAGCGCCUCGGCGCGUAAAGCCCUGUCAGCAGGGAAGAAAAUGACGGUCCCUGAAGAAGAAGCCCCGGCUAACUACGUGCCAACAGCCGCGGUAAUACGUAGGGGGCAAGCGUUAUCCGGAUUUACUGGGUGUAAAGGGGGCGCAAACGGCGAUGCAAGCCAGGAGUGAAAGCCCGGGGCCAAACCCCGGGACUGCUCUUGGAACUGCGUGGCGAGAGUGCAGGAGGGGCAGGCGGAAUUCCUGGUGUAGCGGUGAAAUGCGUAGAUAGCAGGAGGAACACCGGUGGCGAAGGCGGCCUGCUGGACUGCAACUGACGUUGAGGCCCGAAAGCGUGGGGAGCAAACAGGAUUAGAUACCCCGGUAGUC
rnacentral:rRNA from 1 species